GGCCCAGUGGCCUAAUGGAUAAGGCAUCAGCCUCGGGAGCUGGGGAUUGUGGGUUCAAGUCCCACCUGGGUCG
rfam:Danio rerio chromosome 4, GRCz11 reference primary assembly.